UUUAGAUGAUCAUAAAGUGCAUAGCCUGGUUGACACCAGAGCCUUCUCAGUUGUUACUGAGAGUGGGUCUGGGGAAGGUUCAUUCACAGCCCAUUUCCAAAGGAUGUAACAUACGGACGCUGCUCAAAUGACUUUCGGCGCAAUUGGAUAGACCUAAAACCAAUCACAGCGAUGAAGGUGAUGACAUAUGCAGAGCGACGGAAAAACAUCUCAACCAGC